UACGUAGGGUGCAAGCGCUGUCCGGAAUUAUUGGGCGUAAAGAGCUCGUAGGCGGUUUGUUGCGUCGGCUGUGAAAUCCCGAGGCUCAACCUCGGGUCUGCAGUCGAUACGAGCAAACUAGAGUGUUGCAGGGGAGACUGGAAUUCCUGGUGUAGCGGUGAAAUGCGCAGAUAUCAGGAGGAACACCGGUGGCGAAGGCAGGUCUCUGGGCAAACAACUGACGCUGAGGAGCGAAAGCGUGGGGAGCGAACAGG
rnacentral:rRNA from 1 species